rnacentral:rRNA from 1 species
CGCUGGCGGCGUGCUUAACACAUGCAAGUCGAACGAGAGGAGAAGGAAGCUUGCUUCUUUCAAAUCUAGUGGCAAACGGGUGAGUAACGCGUAAGCAACCUGCCCUUCAGAUGGGGACAACACCUCGAAAGGGGGUGCUAAUACCGAAUGACGUUGCGCUGUCGCAUGACGGUGCAACCAAAGGCCGGGCAACCGGUCACUGAAGGAUGGGCCUGCGUCUGAUUAGCUAGUUGGUGGGGUAACGGCCCACCAAGGCGACGAUCAGUAGCCGGUCUGAGAGGAUGAACGGCCACAUUGGGACUGAGACACGGCCCAGACUCCUACGGGAGGCAGCAGUGGGGAAUAUUGCACAAUGGGGGAAACCCUGAUGCAGCGACGCCGCGUGGAGGAAGAAGGUCUUCGGAUUGUAAACUCCUGUUGUUGAGGAAGAUAAUGACGGUACUCAACAAGGAAGUGACGGCUAACUACGUG